rnacentral:rRNA from 1 species
GAUGAACGCUGGCGGCGUGCCUAACACAUGCAAGUCGAGCGAGGGUUUGCUCAGUAUUGAGUAUUCUAACAACUAGAAUGUUCAAUUCUGAGCAAAACCAAGCGGCGGACGGGUGAGUAACGCGUGGGUAACCUGCCCUAUACACAUGGAUAACAUACUGAAAAGUUUACUAAUACAUGAUAAUAUAUAUUUGCGGCAUCGCAGAUAUAUCAAAGUGUUAGCGGUAUAGGAUGGACCCGCGUCUGAUUAGCUAGUUGGUGAGAUAACUGCCCACCAAGGCGACGAUCAGUAGCCGACCUGAGAGGGUGAUCGGCCACAUUGGAACUGAGACACGGUCCAAACUCCUACGGGAGGCAGCAGUGGGGAAUAUUGCACAAUGGGCGAAAGCCUGAUGCAGCAACGCCGCGUGAACGAUGAAGGUCUUCGGAUCGUAAAGUUCUGUUGCAGGGGAAGAUAGUGACGGU